CUGAAGAAAUGCCCUUUCCUAAGUCUGGCUUCACAUUUUUAAGGAGAGGUUGAUGUAAUCCAUCCAUUUGCUGUGAACCUGUGCCAGUGCCAGUGAGAGGGCUGUAACCACAAACAUCUGAACGUGAUCAAGCUGAGGAUGAAAAUCUCCAAUGGCCAAAAGUACUCUAUGGCAACGAAACACUGGGAUUUGGUCUACCAGAUAUUAACCUCUGUGCUGUGUUAGUCCUGCUGCCCCAUAUCUGGAGGGACUGAGGACCAUUUCAUUACAGUGGAGCAGGUAU